rnacentral:rRNA from 1 species
GAUUGAACGCUGGCGGAAUGCUUUACACAUGCAAGUCGAACGGCAGCACGGGGCAACCUGGUGGCGAGUGGCGAACGGGUGAGUAAUAUAUCGGAACGUGCCCAAUCGUGGGGGAUAACGUAGCGAAAGUUACGCUAAUACCGCAUACGAUCUACGGAUGAAAGCGGGGGAUCGCAAGACCUCGCGCGAAUGGAGCGGCCGAUAUCAGAUUAGGUAGUUGGUGGGGUAAAGGCUCACCAAGCCAACGAUCUGUAGCUGGUCUGAGAGGACGACCAGCCACACUGGAACUGAGACACGGUCCAGACUCCUACGGGAGGCAGCAGUGGGGAAUUUUGGACAAUGGGCGCAAGCCUGAUCCAGCCAUGCCGCGUGCAGGAUGACGGUCCUAUGGAUUGUAAACUGCUUUUGCACAGGAAGAAACAACGCUACGUGUAGCGUCUUGACGGUACUGUGAGAAUAAGGAUCGGCUAACUCCGUG